GGGGAAAUAACUUAGUGGUAGAGUAUCUGGUUUGCAUCCAGGAGGUCGUCGGUUCAAUUCCGAUUUUCUCCA
rnacentral:tRNA from 1 species